rnacentral:rRNA from 1 species
UACGAGGGGGGCGAGCGUUGUUCGGAAUUAUUGGGCGUAAAGGGUGCGUAGGCGGUUUGGUAAGUCUUAUGUGAAAUCUAUGGGCUCAACUCAUAGUCUGCAUGAGAAACUGCCGGGCUUGAGUAUGGGAGAGGUGAGUGGAAUUCCUGGCGUAGCGGUGAAAUGCGCAGAUAUCAGGAGGAACACCAAUGGCGAAGGCAGCUCGCUGGGACGGUACUGACGCUGAGACGCGAAAGCGUGGGGAGCAAACAGG